CAAAAAGGAGAGAAAGAAAGAGUCAUAGCUCUUAGAGAUACACAGUAAAGUAUCUACAGAUUAAAUAAUAUGAUGUCUGGGAGGUGCAUCGAGAUAAUCCUGUUAGGGAUGGGGAGAGAGGGGUGGAGAGUAAAUGAAGCGCUGUCUGCUCCUGUGAAUCACUGCUGAUGCUGGAGGAUGGGCAGAUGGGCAAGAGACUGAUCGGUCUUCUGGAAUUUUCCUCCCACCCUUCUGGCUUGUCCUUCUCCUGCAGAGCGGCGCAGGACAACCUCCUUCAGAGCUCCUGCUACUGCCACCGUCCCAGCAGACACCGCCUCUGUCUGACCAGGCACUCUCCUCACCCAAAUCAAGCAGGAGCACAAAGUAUUGGUGCCUUCUGUGUAACCAAAGCCCUCCUAAGUCCUGGAAGAAGGAAAGGAGGAGAGUGGGAGGGAGAAAUAGAGAGAGAAAGAGAUGAAAGGGGCAAGAAGAGGAAGAGCAGGAGGAGGGGAAGGAGGGAAGAAGAGAAGGAAGAGAAAAAGGAAGCAAAAAUGACUUCAUAAUAACCAUCUUCCUUGUCUGCAGGACAUGAGAUUACUUUUUUCCAGAAAAUAUCUUCCUCAGAUUGGCCAAUACAGAAACUACAAGAGAGAAAGAACUAAGCCUGAUUUUCAAGAUUUUUUUCUUCUUUUUCUCUUUUCAUCUUCAGUCACCUUGGGUUCAGAAGCUAUUUCUGUAAGCUGCAUCAGCUGGACUUGGACCAUAUGGCGGAGGCAGCAUCUACAUUUGAUGAUUCAAUUGACCCGGCGGAUGACUAGAUCGUUUUAAAAGCCCUUUGCGUUCUCGCAGGUCGUUUGUCUAUAUCAGAUGCAAAAGGAAGCGCUGUAGCCACCUCAAAUCGCCCUGGAAUGCUCUCUCAAAUGGGCUGGACUCCGUGAUUUGUCAAGGAAAAUUGGACAUUACCUGGUAAAGUUCUUCCUAAACCAUGGGCCCAGAUGUCUGCUUGACAAAUGUCCCUUAUGCUUGUUUCAAUUUAAAGAGUGUGGUUAAAAGACUUUGGCAUGAUUUAUUUUUUAGUUUGGCGUAUUGGUGGAGUGGAGGGAAGGGGGCAGAAAUUAUAUGGCAAUUUAAAACGUAACAGAUUUUGCUUGGCACUCUUUAGUGGGAAUGUGAAAUCAAAUACAGUAGCAAAGUCAUCUGUCAGGGGCAACUUGCUCUGAGGUCCAAGAGAAACUCCUUAAAAAUCUAUAAGUCAUUGAGGUAAGAAAUAAGUGACAUUUUCAUUCCUUCCAUUCCUCAUGUCUUAGGGAUAUAAGAUGCAAGGAAUGAGAUCUUGACUUGUAAAUCAUGGUGACCAGCUGUUAAAUCUAAGACAAGGCACUAGGUUAGCCUGUGUGUUCAGCUUGGUUCUAGUUUUCUCUCACCCCACUCUCUCUCACCUCCCAGACUUCUCAAGCCCUGUAGGCUUGUUAUACACCUUCAUUUAUCUUGGUAAGGAAGACAUAAUGGAAAAUUGUUAAGGCUUGAAGGAAUUACAAGAAAACGGUCAUCUGAAAGAUUAAACAUAGUCAUGCCUUCUUUUUUGAACUUGUGAUAAAACUUGUGACAAAUGAGGGUGGGGCGAGGGGGAAGGAAUUGAAUUAAACCAGAAAGUUUU
rnacentral:lncRNA from 1 species